AUGAACGCUGGCGGCGUGCCUAAUACAUGCACGUCGAGCGAACAGAUGAGGAGCUUGCUCCUAUGACGUUAGCGGCGGACGGGUGAGUAACACGUGGAUAACCUACCUAUAAGACUGGGAUAACUUCGGGAAACCGGAGCUAAUACCAGAUAAUAUAUUGAACAGCAUGGUUCAAUAGUUAAAGACGGUUUUGCUGUCACUUAUAGAUGGAAUCGCGCCGCAUUAGUUAGUUGGUAAGGUAACGGCUUACCAAGGCAACGCUGCGUAGCCGACCUGAGAGGGGGAUCGGCCACACCGGAACUGAGACACGGUCCAGACUCCUACGGUAGGGAGCAGUAGGGAAUCUUCCGCAAUGGGCGGAAGCCUGACGGAGCACCGCCGCGUGAGGGAUGAAGGUCUUCGGAUCUUAAUACUCUGUUAUUUGGGAAGAACAAAUGUGUAAGUAACUAGGCACGUCUUGACGGUACCGAAUCAGAAAGCCACGGCUAACUACGUG
rnacentral:rRNA from 1 species